rnacentral:rRNA from 1 species
GGCCGACGAUACAGGGUGAUAGUCCCGUAGUUGACGACGUGUGUUCAGUGAAAUCGAGUAGGGCGGGACACGUGAUAUCCUGUCUGAAUAUGGGGGGACCAUCCUCCAAGGCUAAAUACUACUGACUGACCGAUAGUGAACCAGUACCGUGAGGGAAAGGCGAAAAGAACCCCUGUGAGGGGAGUGAAAUAGAACCUGAAACCGUGUACGUACAAGCAGUAGGAGCAGGCUUUGUCCUGUGACUGCGUACCUUUUGUAUAAUGGGUCAGCGACUUAUAUUCAGUGGCAAGGUUAACCAUCUAGGGGAGCCGUAGGGAAACCGAGUCUUAACUGGGCGUUCAGUCUCUGGAUAUAGACCCGAAACCAGGUGAUCUAGCCAUGGGCAGGUUGAAGGUUGAGUAACAUCAACUGGAGGACCGAACCGACUAAUGUUGAAAAAUUAGCGGAUGACUUGUGGCUAGGGGUGAAAGGCCAAUCAAACCUGGAGAUAGCUGGUUCUCCCCGAAAGCUAUUUAGGUAGCGCCUCGGACGAAUACUACUGGGGGUAGAGCACUGUUAAGGCUAGGGGGUCAUCCCGACUUACCAACCCUUUGCAAACUCCGAAUACCAGUAAGUACUAUCCGGGAGACACACGGCGGGUGCUAACGUCCGUCGUGGAGAGGGAAACAACCCAGACCGCCAGCUAAGGUCCCAAAUUACUACUAAGUGGGAAACGAUGUGGGAAGGCUCAGACAGCCAGGAUGUUGGCUUAGAAGCAGCCAUCAUUUAAAGAAAGCGUAAUAGCUCACUGGUCGAGUCGGCCUGCGCGGAAGAUGUAACGGGGCUAAGUAGUAAACCGAAGCUGCGGCAAUGUACUUUAGUGCAUUGGGUAGGGGAGCGUUCUGUAAGCGGUUGAAGGUGUGUGGUAACGCAUGCUGGACGUAUCAGAAGUGCGAAUGCUGACAUGAGUAACGAUAAAGGGGGUGAAAAACCUCCUCGCCGGAAGACCAAGGGUUCCUGUCCAACGUUAAUCGGGGCAGGGUAAGUCGACCCCUAAGGCGAGGCCGAAAGGCGUAGUCGAUGGGAAACGGGUUAAUAUUCCCGUACUUCUUACAAUUGCGAUGGGGGGACGGAGAAGGCUAGGUGGGCCUGGCGACGGUUGUCCAGGUUCAAGUGCGUAGGCUGAGAAAUUAGGUAAAUCCGGUUUCUCUUAAGGCUGAGACACGACGUCGAGCAUCUACGGAUGUGAAGUCAUUGAUGCCAUGCUUCCAGGAAAAGCCUCUAAGCUUCAGAUUGUAAGGAAUCGUACCCCAAACCGACACAGGUGGUCGGGUAGAGAAUACCAAGGCGCUUGAGAGAACUCGGGUGAAGGAACUAGGCAAAAUGGUACCGUAACUUCGGGAGAAGGUACGCUCUCGACGGUGAAGUCCCUCGCGGAUGGAGCUAUUGAGAGUCGCAGAUACCAGGUGGCUGCAACUGUUUAUUAAAAACACAGCACUGUGCAAAAUCGCAAGAUGACGUAUACGGUGUGACGCCUGCCCGGUGCCGGAAGGUUAAUUGAUGGGGUUAGACUUCGGUCGAAGCUCUUGAUCGAAGCCCCGGUAAACGGCGGCCGUAACUAUAACGGUCCUAAGGUAGCGAAAUUCCUUGUCGGGUAAGUUCCGACCUGCACGAAUGGCGUAAUGAUGGCCACGCUGUCUCCACCCGAGACUCAGUGAAAUUGAAAUCGCUGUGAAGAUGCAGUGUACCCGCGGCUAGACGGAAAGACCCCGUGAACCUUUACUACAGCUUGGCACUGAACAUUGACCCUACAUGUGUA